ACAGCAGUAGCCGCGGUAAUACGUAGGUGGCAAGCGUUGUCCGGAAUUAUUGGGCGUAAAGGGCUCGCAGGCGGUUUCUUAAGUCUGAUGUGAAAGCCCCCGGCUCAACCGGGGAGGGUCAUUGGAAACUGGGAAACUUGAGUGCAGAAGAGGAGAGUGGAAUUCCACGUGUAGCGGUGAAAUGCGUAGAGAUGCGGAGGAACACCAGUGGCGAAGGCGACUCUCUGGUCUGUAACUGACGCUGAGGAGCGAAAGCGUGGGGAGCGAACAGGAUUAGAUACCCCGGUAGUCCCUGUCUCUUAUAC
rnacentral:rRNA from 1 species